GAGGAAACAAGUGGAGGAGGAAGAGGAGGAGGAGGAGGGGGAGGAAGAAGGUGAGGAGAGAAGGUUACUUUCCUACUGAUACUAAUCGCUAUGUAGUCGUGGUGGGUGAGAGGUGUGCGUGUGGGAGGCGAGGGCGUGAACUCUUUGGCAGGCCAAGGUGGUGCUGCCGGAGGUGACCGGUGCCCGAGAGAAUAGUGGGGAAGCAAUCGGCCAUCAGAAGAACCUCCUGACCCUAUACUGGAUGCCAACACUCAAGGCAGAUGGCGCCACUCGCUCUCAUCCUAUGCAUUCUUGAGCUGUGCCAUGGAGGUUCUGUAUGAGGGUUUACGGCACCACCUCGGCGUGUUGCAGGAGAUAGUCGCUUCAUGCCUCCCUCAGUUUGGUCUACUCUCAGCAAUGGUGGCGUCGGAAGAGAAGAGCGUCGCUUUCUGCCCUGUGGCUUAUUUGUUGGCAUUCAGCAGGGUCAGGAAGUUCUUCUGCUGGUUUCUCUCUGGCACACAUCAUCCCCGGCAGCACCACCUUAGCGUGAUACUUGGGAGUGUGUUACCGGUACUCGCUGGCCUGUUUUGAUCUGACCUGCUGCCGUUAAAGAAGAAGGAUUCUUCGCCUUUAUUUAGGCGUGUAUAUUCGUUCGUACGAGAUGGCCUCCAGGGUCUGGCUACUGUCCUGUCCAUCCUAACGUGUGGCACAUACAUGGUACCGGUCUGGCUACUAUCCUGUCCAUCCUGAUGUGUGGUACAUACACGGUGCCUGUGACUGGUUGCGGUGCCUGUACGGAAGACGCGUUUUGGUCUUGAGGGGUUUGACUUGUGGUUCAACUGUAUGGGAAUGCACUCAAUUCCAUGUAUUGCAGCUGACCUUGGUGUAAAUGUAAUUACUGGUGUUUUUAAAUAAAUAUCUCUAUUCA